ACAUCUACUUCUAAGGAUAUGAACAAACUCAAAAACAGCAAUCAAGAAAUUGUACAGCGAUAUCAAAAAAACACUUAAAACUUUUUCCCCUAGUCGUAGCCUGUCCCUAUUGCCUGACUAUGUCUCCUCCCAUCUAAAAGCUUGUCUUGCUGCUUGGAAUUUCAAAUUCAGCACUCAUCUUUUCAAAUUGCUUAUGGUGCUGAAGAAUACUUAAGAAAUCCAACCAGAGACUAAAAAUGUGUGAGUAUUUUACAUGACAGUAUCUUGUUCAUCUAAAAAAAAAAAAAAAAAGAAGAAAGAAAAAGGAAAAAAGCCUGGAGAUCCUCAAGUGUCUUUGCUUGAGUUCCCAUAGAAGGUUCACUAACCCCCUGAAUGACCUGUAGAGAUCUGCUGUGCUCAGACCAACAUCCCAAGCUGAUCAGGAGAAACACAUUCCCUCUCAACUUCAGAUGAGGGUGCCUGGACAAAGAUGAUGACGUCUGUAUGCCAGGGAUGUAAGAAGAAAGCCUUCUGUGGUGUUAUUUAUUGUAGCAACAGGCCCUGGCAACAGUUAGGCUCCAUGGUGAUAACGACUAACCAAGCUCCCAGGAAGAGACUAGGGCAUUCCUACUCCCUGGACUUGCAGCAAGAAGCAGAUGGUCACAGUUUCACCAUGGGCUGCAAUAUUUCUAACAGGGUCGCUGACGCACAGCUGUCUUCUGAGGAGCUACAGAACAACCAGGAAGCCAAAAGCCAGACUAAAAAUGACAGCAUUGCUGGAACAGAGGCUGUCCCCUCACAGGAUGGGGCAGCUGGGCCAACAGGCACUUCAAAGGAUGGAGACAAACUUGAAAAUGAGACCAGUGAAGCAGACUCCCCUGAGGAGCUACCAGGAAGAUUUAUAUCUUCUCAGAAGAGCAGCAACGCACAAAGCACAGGUGAACUGUAGCUGAAGUUCAUACUAGCUCCACAAAUGGACACCUACAAGCAAAUAACCUUGGGAAUCUAUUGCUACAGCCAACUUCCAUACCCAGAAACGUUCAUGCUGCAACACCACAAGGACUGAGCUCUUAGCACUGGUUUAAAACCAAGCGAUAGUAGCAGAAAGUAUUUCCUGCAGCAUGACUCAACCCUCACUACCAGAGCAGGCAGCAGGGUAGAUACUUUUCUUGGCAGAUGCCUGCAACAGAUCAAAGGAACAAACUCAGCCUUGUCCCCAGGGGCAGCCCUUCUCUAACUGAGAUUAUGGCACACUGGGAAGAGGUAUUGCCUACACCAGGGCUGCCAGUCUGCCCUUACGACGAGUCAGUUUUUACAACAGAACGGUCAUCAGGUAGAGACAGUGAAUAAAUACCAUGUUAUUUUGCA
rnacentral:lncRNA from 1 species